CAAUAGCGUAUAUUUAAGUUGUUGCAGUUAAAAAGCUCGUAGUUGGAUUUCGGUUAAGAGCGACCGGUCCGCCGUUUGGUGUGCACUGGUUGGUUUUAACUUCCUGUAGAGGACGUGCUCUGGGUUUAACGACCUGGACUCGGAGUCUACGUGGUUACUUUGAAAAAAUUAGAGUGUUCAAAGCGGGCUUACGCUUGAAUAUUUCAGCAUGGAAUAACACUAUAGGACUCCUGUCCUAUUUCGUUGGUCUCGGGACGGGGGUAAUGAUUAAGAGGAACAGUUGGGGGCAUUCGUAUUUCAUUGUCAGAGGUGAAAUUCUUGGAUUUAUGAAAGACGAACUUCUGCGAAAGCAUUUGCCAAGGAUGUUUUCAUUAA
rnacentral:rRNA from 1 species